GUGCCAGCAGCCGCGGUAAUUCCAGCUCCAAUAGCGUAUAUUAAAUUUGUUGCAGUUAAAAAGCUCGUAGUUGUAUACCUACGUAGCACUUCGAUAUAGUUAUAAACUAGACGAAAUGCUGGUAUUUGAGCACGGGAUCAUCUUACGCUUAAUUGUCGUAUUGAUGCUCAACGUGCAUUUUACUUUGAGGAAAUUAGAGUGUUCCAAGCAAACAUGGUUGUGAAUAUAAUAGCAUGGGAUAAUAUUUUUUGACGUGGAGUCGCUGCGUAAGCCUUGAUUCCACGGUAAUUUCGAAAGGGAUAUCUGGGGGCAUUCGUAUUAAGCUGUCAGAGGUGAAAUUCUUAGAUUUUCUUAAGACGAACAAAUGCGAAAGCAUCUGCCAAAGAUGUUUUCAUUGAUCAAGAACGAGAGUUAAGGGAUCGAAGACGAUUAGAUACCGUCCUAGUCUUAACAGUAAACUAUGCCACCUAAAGAUUGGGAGACGUUCUUUACGCUCUCAGUAUUUUAUGAGAAAUCAAAGUCGUUGGGUUCUGGGGGGAGUAUGGUCGCAAGACUGAAACUUAAAGGAAUUGACGGAAGGGCACCACCAGGAGUGGAGCCUGCGGCUUAAUUUGACUCAACACGGGGAAUCUUACUAGGUCCAGACAAAGGGAGGAUUGACAGUUUGAGAGCGCUUUCUUGAUUCUUUGGGUGGUGGUGCAUGGCCGUUCUUAGUUGGUGGAGUGAUUUGUCUGGUUAAUUCCGUUAACGAACGAGACCUUAGCCAUCUAAAUAGUAUUUUAAACGUCAUUUUAAUAUGCUUCUUAGAGGGACUGUGUGUUUGAGCACAAUGAAGUUUAAGGCAAUAACAGGUCUGUGAUGCCCAAG
rnacentral:rRNA from 1 species